AUGGAGACAACAAGAAAUAUUUCUUUAACCAUGGCAUUAGUUUUGGCUUUUUUGAUUUUUGCAUCAGAUAUGACAAUAGAAUCACAAGCAAGAGGAAUGAGUGAAGACACACUUAAUAAAUGUGUCAAGAAUGUCGAUUGUGUGCCUAAAUGGCAUUGCGAUUCAGGCCUAGUUCCCGUAUGUAUUGAUGGCACGUGUAUUUGUGUGCCUUAA
rnacentral:lncRNA from 1 species